AUUGAACGCUGGCGGCAGGCCUAACACAUGCAAGUCGAACGGCAGCGGGGGAUAGCUUGCUAUCCUGCCGGCGAGUGGCGGACGGGUGAGUAAGGCAUGGGGAGCUGCCCAAUCGAGGGGGAUAACAACUGGAAACGGUUGCUAAUACCGCAUACGCCCUGCGGGGGAAAGGUGGGGACCAUUUGGCCUACCGCGAUUGGAUGCACACAUGUGGGAUUAGCUGGUUGGUGAGGUAACGGCUCACCAAGGCGACGAUCUCUAGCUGGUCUGAGGGGAUGACCAGCCACACUGGAACUGAGACACGGUCCAGACUCCUACGGGAGGCAGCAGUGGGGAAUAUUGCACAAUGGGGGAAACCCAGAUGCAGCCAUGCCGCGUGUGUGAAGAAGGCCUUCGGGUUGUAAAGCACUUUCAGUGGGGAGGAAGGGGAGCAGGCUAAUAUUCUGUUUCAUUGACGUUACCCACAGAAGAAGCACCGGCUAACUCCGUGCCAGCAGCCGCCGUAAGAC
rnacentral:rRNA from 1 species